rnacentral:rRNA from 1 species
ACACCUGUACCCAUGCCGAACACAGCAGUUAAGCCCUAGAACGCCUGAAGUAGUUGGGGGUUGCCCCCUGUUAGAUACGGUAGUCGCUUAGC